GAAGGAGGCAGGCAGGCAGGCAGGCAGAGUGGCCCCCACAGCUCUCUGCAGCAGACCCUCUACCCAGCCCAGCAUUUGCCAGGGUCCUGGAUCUGGGGUCCUGACAGGCAUUCCCCAAUUUCUACUGAAAUACUCAAAUGCCACCACCAAGAACAACAAAUUUCAAUUUCUCCCAAAGCAUCUGCACUAGUGACACAAAUACAGCCAGUCAACAACUUUUGGAUUUCAUGGCACACAAACAUUGACUGCUCUUGUCCCUAGUCCCAUAGCUGAAGCAUGUUAUGUGGAAAGAAAAUUCAGAAGAACAGGAGUGGAAGAUUCUUGGUCAGCAGUCAAGGACCUGGCUCGAAACCGGUCCCCAGAGAGUGCAAGAAAGCUAAACUUAUCUGAAGACACUUGCAGGUGGAGGCAGGCAGGCUGCCAAGUUUCCCUGUUAGCUGAGAGAGACAGAUCUGCUGUGACAGCAAGUCAGAACACAAAGCUUCCCUAGCCUGAUCCAAGACCCACCAAUCUGGGACAUGAGUCUCAUUUGCUUUUCUGGCAUCAGAUGAAGAGAAAAGAAUAAUAGCCCCAAUGAACAACCCAAAACCCAUGCACUAGCAGCUAUCUAGUUGAGCCUCCCCUCCAGCACGAAGCAUCAUAAAGUUGAAACACAGUUGAAAAGUUGAAAGAAGCUGGCAAAUCACCAACACUAUUGCUGGUUCCUAGAAGUAGCUCCCUGCUUCUAUUUGAUAGACUCAAAUGGUUCUGACAAGGUGAGAGGAAAGAACAGGUUACAUUACAAAGCAAUCCAUGGAGGCUUUUGGAGAGAUCCCAACAGAAUAAUCAAAGCCCCUCUCCCAGCAGUAGUUCUUAGAAGAGGGAAAAAAUUACCCUUGAAUAAUGGACAUCACAAAAAACCACUUUCAGGACUCUGCUGUGUGAUGCUGCUGAAAUGUACAUCGUGCCUUGCCUUGGAAUAUGUCUGCUUUAUUUGGGGUUCUUCUGAACACAGCAUGCCUGGAAGGAUUUGCAGAUCAGAAGAUCUAAAUGGAGUCUAAUAGUCGGACCCCACAAUUGGCUUCUAGUGACUGCCCACAGCAUGGCUCACAAAUAUGUCUGGAGUUGUGUAGCAGCUCUUUAAAAGAAUGUCCUUUAUCAAGAAGAAUAAAAAAUCAAUGCAGACGACAUCCUUUGAAGAGGUAAUGUUUCUGAAUUGUUGCCUGGUUCAUCAGGCUCAGGAAGAUAUCUGCAGAUGCAAUUGCUUUAUCAUCCAUAAGAAAAUGGAGAGCCAACCAGGAGUCAAGAGAUGAUAAAUGUAUCCCCCACCAACUGCCCUAUGGUUCAGUCUGAGUUAUCAUCUCAUCAGAUCUGCUGAAUUGCAGUUUAGAAAGAGAAGCUACAAGUCAAUGAGAAUACUGAAUAGUGCUGUCCAGGGUGCUGAAUGAAGUGAUUGGUGUUUUUGAAAGCAUGGACUCCUGAACAUAAACUCCUGAACACUCUUUAUAAAAAAGCCUCUUGUAAAUAUGAAUAAUCCAUAGGGUAUCUGAAUUCACACACAUUAAUUCACUCCCUCUCUUUCUCUGGGAAUCUCUCUUGCAGCAGAUGUAAACCCCACAAAGAGAAUGUUUUGCUGCAGUGGAAUAAUCUGUUUGCUAGUUGAGAGGAUCUAUAGUACAUAGUAGAAAACACAGGAGGUUUAUGUUCUCAUGGCUUAUAGGAGGCAUUCGCUCAUAGCAAAAUGGGAGGGAUAUACUAGGUCUUUUUAAAAACCCCACAAAAAACCUGUGGUGAGACUGCUUCAGGGUUUAAAAACAUCCCCACCACCACCACUCCCAAGACAGACAGCUUGGAAUGAAAUUGCAUUUAUGCGACUCCUAAGUUGGGGUGUGCUGUACUUGUGUAUAAGAACCCCAAAGAUAAUAAUCAAAGUUAAUCAAAACACUUGGGGUGGGGGUGGGGCCCUGCUAGGCUAAGUGCUGAUGGACAAAAGAGAAAUAUGUGCUGCUUUCAGUCCUAUCCUCUUCAGAAAGGAUAUUGAAAAACUGGAAAGGUCUCAGAGCAAAGUGAUGAAAAAGAUUAAAGGCCCAAAGAAAGUAUCAUAUAAAGAGGAGCUGAAAAAUAAAGAGAUUGCUUCCCUUGAAGAGGAAAUAAAUAAGAUGGGCUAUGAUACAAGUCAAGAAACUAAUGAAUGGCACAGAGGAGGCAGGCAAAGAACUAUUGUUGUCAUGAUCUCAUAAUACAUCAACAAAGGAAUGAAUAAGGAUAGAAGCUGCCAGUUCUAGCCAGGUAAAAGGAAAUGUUAUUUGAGAGUUAUGUGCCUUUGGCUACUGGAACUCGUGUUAUGUGCCUUUGGCUCAAAGGUGUAUCUAGGGAAAAUAGUGCCUAGGGCAAGCACUGAAAUUGCGCCCCCUGCCCAAACAUCUGACACCCAUCUUUCAGAUAACUUUACCAUAAUAUCAACUGAAAAAUAUAAGUCAAGCUUGUUAAUCUUUUAAUAUUUCAAAAACUAUUUAGCAGUGGAUGUAGCUAGACCCAAAAAUGCUGGAAAACUACAAAUUUCAGUAUGCUGGGGCUCAUGAAAUACCCAAAUACUAUGUGGAAGUGUACUUGGAAAACUAAACAGAAGUGCCUGUCUAAUUCUCUACUAUGCAUUGUAGCAUCAGUAUUACAUAAGUUUUAAAAAUAAAUGGAGAAUUGGACUU